UACAGAGGGGGCGAGCGUUGUUCGGAAUUACUGGGCGUAAAGCGCGCGUAGGUGGUUUGUUAAGUUGGAUGUGAAAUCCCCGGGCUCAACCUGGGAACUGCAUUCAAAACUGACAAGCUAGAGUAUGGUAGAGGGUGGUGGAAUUUCCUGUGUAGCGGUGAAAUGCGUAGAUAUAGGAAGGAACACCAGUGGCGAAGGCGACCACCUGGACUGAUACUGACACUGAGGUGCGAAAGCGUGGGGAGCAAACAGG
rnacentral:rRNA from 1 species